AUUUUUUAUAAAAAAAAUGUUUUAUAGUUUUAUUAUAUCAAUGAAAUAAUUUAUUUAAUAAUAGUUAAAAGUAUAGUGAUAGAAAUUUAGAAAAUUUUUUUAAGAAAAAUUUAUUUUUUGUACCUUUUGUAUCAGGGUUAAUUAAUUAUAUUUAAUUAUUUAAUUUUCUCGAAUUAUAAAGAGCUAAUUUUAUAAGAUUUUAAUGUAGAAUAAUUAUUUUUAAUAUAAGGUUAGUAAUGAAACGUUAUUCGUUUUAUAAUAUAUCUAGUUUUUUAAUAAAUAAAUUUAAUUUAAUUUAAUUUUGUAAUUUUACUAUUUUUGUAAAAUUAUUGAUUUUAAUUUAAAAUUUAAAGGGAUAAGCUUUUAAUUAGUUUUAUAAUUUAUAUUUAGUUGAUUAAUAAAUAGGAUUAGAAAUGUUCAUUUUUAUUAAUAUGUUAUAAUUAUUUAAUUUUUAAUAUUUAUUUAUAUAAAUUUAAUUUUUUAUUAAAAUUUUAUAUUUAAUUUUAAAUUAUAAGUAAUAAUGAUUAAAUUAGUAUAUUUAAAUUUAUUUUUAAUUUUGAGUUUAAGUUAUAAAAAAGGAAUUCGGCAAAUAUAUUUUUUACCUGUUUAAUAAAAACAUGUCUUUUUGAAUUUAAUUUAAAGUCUAACCUGCUCAAUGAUUUUUAAAUAGCUGCAGUAUAUUAACUGUACAAAGGUAGCAUAAUCAUUAGUUUUUUAAUUGAAAGCUGGAAUGAAUGGUUGAAUAAAAAAAUAGCUGUCUCUUUUAUAAUUUUAGAAUUUUAUUUUUAAGUGAAAAAGCUUAAAUUUUGUUAAAAGACGAGAAGACCCUAUAGAGUUUAAUAAAUUUAAAUUUUAAUUUUGAAUGAUUUUAAGUAAUUUAAAAUUUAAAUUUGUUUUAUUGGGGUGAUAUUAAAAUUAAAAUAACUUUUAUUUUUAAAAACAUUAAUUUAUGAAUAUUUGAUCUUGAAUUUUGGAUUAUAAGAAAAAAUUACCUUAGGGAUAACAGCGUAAUUUUUUUUGAGAGUUCUAAUCGAUAAAAAAGAUUGCGACCUCGAUGUUGGAUUAAAAUUUAUUUUUAAUGCAGAAGUUAAAAUAUUAAGUCUGUUCGACUUUUAAAAUUUUACAUGAUCUGAGUUUAAACCGGCGUGAGCCAGGUUGGUUUCUAUCUUUAAUUUAUUAAUAUAUUUUAGUACGAAAGGACCAAAUAUA
rnacentral:rRNA from 1 species